AGCCAUGCAUGCCUAAGUAAUUAUGAGUACAUUGAACCACGUAAAGCUCAUUACAACAGAAUUGAUAUACAUGGAAUAACUUUAUAAAUGGAUAUCUGUGGUAAAUCUAGAGCUAAUACAUGCAAAUAAAUUGUAUUAUUUUAAUAAUACAAUUAAAUUAUUGUUACAAAACCAAUGGGUUUUACCCUGUUUUGUUUAAUCAUAAUAAUUAAUGACCAUAUUUUAAUAUGUGGAUAUCCUUAUUUAGUUUCUGCCCUAUCAACUAUAUAACAAUUUAUUGUAUUGUUAUGGUUGUGCCGGGUAACGGAGAAUUAGGGUUCGUCUCCGGAGAGAAUGCCUUAGAAACGGCUUUCACUUCCAAGGAAGGCAGCAGGCGCGAAAAUUACCCACUCUUAGCUCGAGGAGGUAGUGACGUGAAAUGACAAGUUUUAUAUCUUAUGAUAUAAAACAUUGGAAUGGUUAUAUUUUAAAAUCAUUUAAGAUUAUCAAUGAGAGGGCAAGUCUGGUGCCAGCAGCCGCGGUAAUUCCAGCUCUCAUACUACAUUGAACUGCUGUUGCGGUUAAAAAGUUCGUAGUUGCAAAUGUACAUAUAAAUAUGGUUUAUUAUUUUAUUAUAAUAUAACUAUAUUUUAUGUUAUUUAUAUAAUAUUGUAAAAUAUUAUAUAAUGAUACCCUGAGUAAAGCAAAGUGCUCAGAACAGGCUAUUGCUUGUAUGUUUUUGCUGGGAAUAUCAAACGGAUACAUUAGUUGAUGUUUGUUGGUUUAAUAACUAUGUAAUGGUUAAUAGAAACAAACGGGGACAAAAGUAUUGCAAGGGGAGAGGUGAAAUUCGUUGAUCCUUGCAAGACUACCUAUAGCGAAAGCAUUUGUCAAGAAUGUUUUCUUUAAUCAAGRACGAAAGUYAGAGGAUCGAAGGCGAUUAGAUACCGCCCUAGUUCUGACCGUAAACUAUACCAUCUAACGAGUUGUAAUUAUUUUUAAUAGUUAUUAUAACGAGUUACUCGGAAACGAAAGUCUUUCGGUUCUGGGGGGAGUAUGGUUGCAAAACUGAAACUUAAAGGGAUUGACGGAAAGUCACCACCAGAAAUGGAGCUUGCGGCUUAAUUUGACUCAACGCGGGAAAACUUACUUGGUCUAGAUACUAAAAUGAUUGACAGAUUAAUAUAUCUUUCAAGAUAUAGUACAAAGUGGCGCAUGGCCGUUCUUAGUUCGUGGAUUAGUUUGUCUGGUUAAUUCCGAUAACGAACGAGACUGAAUCAUGGUUAUUUAUUUAUAUUAUUAUUUUGUAAUAUAAAAUCAUAAAUGGAUAUUCAACUAUAAGUUGUAUGAAAAUUGGCAAUAACAGGUCUGUUAUGCCCUUAGUUGUCCAAGGCCGCACGCGUGCUACAAUGAAAAUUGUAGUAUGCAUAUUAUUAUAUUGAAAAAUAUAAUAAAACGAGUCAAAUUAUUUCGCAUUUGGGAUUGAUGAUUGUAAUUAUUAUCAUGAACGAGGAACUUCAAGUAAGUAUAUGUUAUUAUCAUAUGCUGAUUACGUCCCUGUCUUUUGUACACACCGCCCGUCGCUGCCUAGAACUGAGUUGAUUCGAGAAGAUGGAGGAGAAAGUUAUAUUAGUUUUACUAAU
rnacentral:rRNA from 1 species